CGUUGUAUUGUUGUAAUUGUAAUGGUUCUCAUUUUUUGGAACGUGGAAAGCAGAAUCGGCACCGGACUCCGGAAAUUACCUACCAGCAGAUUACGGAAACAACGUGUAACAGCAAUUUCAGAUUUAUCAUCAAUUUGGUAAUAGCCGCUACCAGUUUCCUCCGUUUCCUCCUGUUAGGGUGGAAGAAGACGAGGAAGCGUGGCCGCACCAAAUCGUAUUGGGUCCAUCCGUAUCUAGCCGAAAGAAAUCAGAAAGGCAGAUAUGCAACCGAUCGCUUUUGGUCCCACGAAAUUAUCUUAAUUGCAACAGUAUGGUAAAUUGAAUUAUGCCUCGCCAAGUUGGAGAGCGAGUCCGACAUUCAAGUCUAGCAACCAAGCGACAACCAGCACGACGGAGACGACGACAGAAGAUUAUGACAAAGUUGGGAGUCUUCAUCAUCAACCAACAACGACUGAGACUGGUCGUUAUAAUGGUCCUGGUAUACAUAGGAUAGAGAUGAGAUUCCCUCGGAGGGUACGAAAGGACAGCAUAUUAUUACGAAAACACAAAACAAGGGAGAAAGGAGUAAAGUGAAAGCACAAGUUGUGCAUUGCUCUUGGAA